AUUGAACGCUGGCGGCAGGCUUAACACAUGCAAGUCGAACGAGUGGCGGACGGGUGAGUAAUGCUUGGGAAUCUAGCUUAUGGAGGGGGAUAACUCCGGGAAACUGUAGCUAAUACCGCCUACCAUAGGAUGAGCCCACGUGGGUUUAGGUAGUUGGUGAGGUAAUGGCUCACAAAGCCGACGAUCUCUAGCUGGUCUGAGAGGGUGAACGGCCACAUUGGGACUGGGACACGGCCCAGACUCCUACGGGAGGCAGCAGUGGGGAAUCUUCCGCAAUGGACGAAAGUCUGACGGAGUAACGCCGCGUGAGUGAUGACGGCCUGCGGGUUGUAAAGCUCUGUUAAUCGGGAGACGGUACCGGAAUAGAAAGCCACGGCUAACUACGUGCCAGCAGCCGCGGUAAUAC
rnacentral:rRNA from 1 species